UACAGAGGGGGCAAGCGUUGUUCGGAAUCACUGGGCGUAAAGGGCGUGUAGGCGGGAAGGAAAGUCAGAUGUGAAAUCCCUGGGCUCAACCCAGGAACUGCAUUUGAAACUCCCUUUCUUGAGUGUCGGAGAGGAAAGCGGAAUUCCUGGUGUAGAGGUGAAAUUCGUAGAUAUCAGGAGGAACACCGGUGGCGAAGGCGGCUUUCUGGACGACAACUGACGCUGAGACGCGAAAGCGUGGGGAGCAAACAGG
rnacentral:rRNA from 1 species